GAAAGGCGCUUUUGCGUCACUGAUGGAUGGACCCGCGGUGCAUUAGCUAGUUGGUGAGGUAACGGCUCACCAAGGCCACGAUGCAUAGCCGACCUGAGAGGGUGAUCGGCCACACUGGGACUGAGACACGGCCCAGACUCCUACGGGAGGCAGCAGUAGGGAAUCUUCGGCAAUGGACGAAAGUCUGACCGAGCAACGCCGCGUGAGUGAAGAAGGUUUUCGGAUCGUAAAACUCUGUUGUUAGAGGAGAAUAAGGAUGAGAGUAGAACGUUCAUCCCUUGACGGUAUCUAACCAGAAAGCCACGGCUAACUACGUGCCAGCAGCCGCGGUAAUACGUAGGUGGCAAGCGUUGUCCGGAUUUAUUGGGCGUAAAGCGAGCGCAGGCGGUUUCUUAAGUCUGAUGUGAAAGCCCCCGGCUCAACCGGGGAGGGUCAUUGGAAACUGGGAGACUUGAGUGCAGAAGAGGAGAGUGGAAUUCCAUGUGUAGCGGUGAAAUGCGUAGAUAUAUGGAGGAACACCAGUGGCGAAGGCGGCUCUCUGGUCUGUAACUGACGCUGAGGCUCGAAAGCGUGGGGAGCGAACAGGAUUAGAUACCCUGGUAGUCCACGCCGUAAACGAUGAGUGCUAAGUGUUGGAGGGUUUCCGCCCUUCA
rnacentral:rRNA from 1 species